GCCAAAGUGGCGGAAUUGGUAGACGCACUAGAUUCAAAAUCUAGCGAUCUUUGCGGUCGUGAGGGUUCGAUUCCCUCCUUUGGUA
rnacentral:tRNA from 1 species